GCUUUAACAAUAAUACAUUGUCUUCUUGUAUAAAUAUACUUGAAAACAAUUACAUGUCACACAAAUUCUGAACACAUCUCACCACAUUAGUAGUUGAACUAUAUAUAUCCCAUAACAAGAAAUUACUUACUCCAGUCUCAAGUCUCCGAUGGAGAGGAGCUAGAUAAUAGUGGAUUUAAAGUAGAGACUUGCCUGCCUUACCCAACAUGAUUACUUAUUAUCAAUUAUCAUCCAUUUGCAUAUAACCAAACCUCUUGAUUAUUCCAAACAAGGGUUGAAAUUGAAUUAACCUUCCAAAGACUAGGAGUGACCUACUUGCCUACCCCACUGAAGGUCUGCAGAAAACUCAGCAAGAGCAGCUCGAGGAUCGCCAUUUGAAACAGACCAGUAGUAUUGAGCAGUUUCACUAUCAACUUGCAUGCUUCUCUUCAAGGAAUCAAGCACCUUUUUGUUGCUUUCUUCUGAGGAUAUUCUGUUUGAUACAUAGCUACUCUUUAUGUCAGAAGAAAGAAUGUUAUGGACACAAGGAGAAGUCCUCAACAACAAAAAAAUCUCACAAGAAUACAACAAUUAUGGACAUUGGAAACCAUAGCGACAAAAUACAAUCAAAGUCUAUAUGUCCUUAAAUUCUUCUAUUAGCAGGGAAUUGAAUUGUUGAUACUGGGUGCUGUUUCAGUCCACUUACAAUCCCAUCACUUUUCUGGGCAGUUUUCUUACUCCUUAAUGGUGAAACUAAUCUGGUAGCUAGUCUCGAAGGAGAGAAAGAUCGACGGAAUUUAGCAGCAGUCGAUCUCUUUGGCGAAUUCUUACUCAAACUUGCAAGUCUUGUGGGUGAAAUAGACACAAUUGUUGUGCUUUUGAUCUUAACUUUAGAGUUUGAAGGUGGAAAUUUGAUCAAAAACUUGUGUGGUGUUGUUGGUCCUCUAUUUCUUGAAAUAAAAGAAGACCUUGUUUUGCAAAACUGUUGCUGCUAUGACCGUGAUGAAGAACAAUGAGUUGACUUGAACAAAGGGUUGGGGAAAAGUAUAGUUUUUUUAGCCCAUGUCCUAUUCCUUGGAGAUACCCUAUUCGCCUAAGACAAAUACUUGUUAUUUUCUGUAUUAAAUUCUCUAACUUUUGGAGGAGAAACUUUGAAAGUGAUUCUGGAACGAGCUCUUUGAAGUGAAGGAGAACCAUCAUUUUGUAGUUUGGUUUAUUUCUCCUUCUUCCUUCUAGACUUAAGUUGUGUGUUUUCAAGGUUUAUUUUCUUGCUUGGCCUUUGAGACAUUGGAGUUUUUGGGUCCUCUUUGGAGGGAGUUUUGUCACCAACAGUUGAAACAAUUUCUCUUGCAAAUUGACUAGCCUGUAAAAUUUCUCCAAGAGUUUCUCCUACAAGCAUUGCAGGCAACGACAUUCGCCUCCAUUCACCUGUAUAAACAUAAGGGUUCCCAAGUGAAUAGGAAAGUCUUGUCAUUAACUAAUUAAAGAGUUGCCAAAUAACACA
rnacentral:lncRNA from 1 species